rnacentral:rRNA from 1 species
UACGUAGGGUGCGAGCGUUAAUCGGAAUUACUGGGCGUAAAGCGUGCGCAGGCGGCUUCGCAAGUCAGACGUGAAAUCCCCCGGGCUUAACCUGGGAAUGGCGUUUGAAACUACGGAGCUGGAGUAUGGCAGAGGGGGGGUGGAAUUCCACGUGUAGCGGUGAAAUGCGUAGAUAUGUGGAGGAACACCGAUGGCGAAGGCAGCCCCCCUGGGCCAAUACUGACGCUCAUGCACGAAAGCGUGGGGAGCAAACAGG